AGAGGCACAGAAAGAUUACAUCAAUACCUUUGUCAGAUAACACUGAAUUGAUGCUAUAGCUAGCAAUCAAGAGGAAACUGACAAAGACUCAAACUCCCCACCUUAUAGCUGCGAGGGCCGAGGUGCAUCGACUUUUGUCAGGGGAUGCUAUUCACCGGGACAUAUUGUUCUGUCUCGAUUCCCGAGCAUGAAACAGCACGAGUGAUGAGCAGCGUGGCUAUACUGAGGAAAAACUCAUUCCACUCUUAUGAAUGAGUCUCCCUCUACAAUAUGGACGCAUUGUAUGAUACACCGAAAGCAACUGCCGGCAAAAGAGCAACUCCACUCGUCGCCAAUUCCACAUCCCAACCCUCAGCCCAUCCCAUCCAUCUCCACGUUGGGUUUCUACACAACACAUAUCUUUCAACUAUGCUGUGAUGUUUAACGUACAAUUCCAAUCUAUCUAAUCGAAUAGAAUCCACAAAUUGUGAGUUGAAGAUAAAUACUUUUACUAAGAGAAUUAGUAAUUGACUGACCCAGUCACUCAAGAUCUCCUAACAGUACUGUUUCUAGGGUCAAUUUUAGAUCAAUGCUAUGCAUUUUCAGCCAUUCCUGAACCUGAGACCAGAAACAUGCUAACUGGGGGAAAAACCAAAAUAAAAAAGUCUAUUGAUUCUGUAUCCUCACAACAAAAUCUGCAGCACUUCAAUGAUUUUAUGCCCCAAAUAUUCAACAUUUUGUUGGUGGCAAGAAUUCUACGUAAUAAUUUUAGCUGAAAAGCACGAAGUCUUGAAUCUUGCGUGUUUUAUACACUGCUCAAAAAAAUAAAGGGAACACUAAUUAAAUACUUUUUUCUUUACAUAGUUGAAUGUGCUGACAACAAAAUCACACAAAAAUGAUCAAUGGAAAUCCAAUUUAUCAACCCAUGGAGGUCUGGAUUUGGAGUCACACUCUAAAUUAAAGUGGAAAACCACACUACAGGCUGAUUCAACUUUGAUGUAAUGUCCUUAAAACAAGUCAAAAUGAGGCUCAGUAGUGUGUGUGGCCUCCACGUGCCUGUAUGACCUCCCUACAACGCCUGGGCAUGUUCCUGAUGAGGUGGCGGAUGGUCUCCUGAGGGAUCUCCUCCCAGACCUGGACUAAAGCACUGGACAGUCUGUGGUGCAACGUGGCGUUGGUGAUUGGAGCGAGACAUGAUGUCCCAGAUGUGCUCAAUUGGAUUCAGGUCUGGCGAAAGGGCGGGCCAGUCCAUAGCAUCAAUGCCUUCCUCUUGCAGGAACUGCUGACACACUCCAGCCACAUGAGGUCUAGCAUUGUCUUGCAUUAGGAGGAACCCAGGGCCAACCGCACCAGCAUAUGGUCUCACAAGGGGUCUGAGGAUCUCAUCUCGGUACCUAAUGGCAGUCAGGCUACCUCUGGCGAGCACAUGCAGGGCUGUGCGGCCCCCCCAAAGAAAUGCCACCCCACACCAUGACUGAUCCACUGCCAAACCGGUCAUGCUGGAGGAUGUUGCAGGCAGCAGAACGUUCUCCACGGCGUCUCCAGACUGUCACAUGUGCUCAGUGUGAACCUGCUUUCAUCUGUGAAGAGCACAGGGCGCCAGUGGCAAAUUUGCCAAUCUUGGUGUUCUCUGGCAAAUGCCAAACGUCCUGCACAGUGUUGGGCUGUAAGCACAACCCCCACCUGUGGACGUCGGGCCCUCAUACCACCCUCAUGGAGUCUGUUUCUGACUGUUUGAGCAGACACAUGCACAUUUGUGGCCUGCUGGAGGUCAUUUUGCAGGGCUCUGGCAGUGCUCCUCCUUGCACAAAGGUGGAGGUAGCGGUCAUGCUGCUGGGUUGUUGCCCUCCUACGGCCUCCUCCACGUCUCCUGAUGUACUGGCCUGUCUCCUGGUAGCGCCUCCAUGCUCUGGACACUACGCUGACAGACACAGCAAACCUUCUUGCCACGGCUCGCAUUGAUGUGCCAUCCUGGAUGAGCUGCACUACCUUAGCCACUUGUGUGGGUUGUAGACUCCGUCUCAUGCUACCACUUGAAUGCUGGCAGUGCUUUCACUCUAAAGUGACCAAAACAUCAGCCAGGAAGCAUAGGAACUGAGAAGUGGUCUGGUCACCACCUGCAGAACCACUCCUUUAUUCAGGGUGUCUUGCUAAUUGCCUAUAAUUUCCACCUGUUGUCUAUUCCACUUGCACAACAGCAUGUGACAUUUAUUGUCAAUCAGUGUUGCUUCCUAAGUGGACAGUUUGAUUUCACAGAAGUGUGAUUGACUUGGGAGUUACAUUGUGUUGUUUAAGUGUUCCAUUUAUUUUUUUGAGCAGUGUAUAUUUUGUUACAUGAAUACCGAGUAUGUCUACUUUAUCAGCCCAUUUUAUAGGUAAACUGCAGAGUAAUGUAAUGUAAAAAAAAGCUGUAUUUUUUAAAGAUCCAAUACAUCAUUUUGUACACUUAUCAUAAUUCGUUUUUAGUUACUUAGAUGUUAUGUGUGUAGUAAAUCUGAGUCGGUUGAUGUGUAUGACAUUGGAUGCGAUUUAGUGAGAGUGUGUACGAUGUCUGUAUAAGAGUAAUAAUGUGGGAUGUCCAAGUAAAAAAAUAACUCCACCAA